rnacentral:rRNA from 2 species
UACGGAGGGGGCAAGCGUUGUUCGGAAUCAUUGGGCGUAAAGGGCGCGUAGGCGGCCGAUCAAGUCGGGUGUGAAAUCCCUCGGCUCAACCGAGGAACUGCACUCGAUACUGUUCGGCUAGAGUCCGGGAGGGGAUGGUGGAAUUCCCAGUGUAGCGGUGAAAUGCGUAGAUAUUGGGAAGAACACCGGUGGCGAAGGCGGCCAUCUGGACCGGCACUGACGCUGAGGCGCGAAAGCCAGGGGAGCGAAUGGG